CAAAGGUGAGCCAGUACAGGAUGGACCCGCGUCUGAUUAGCUAGUUGGUAAGGUAACGGCUUACCAAGGCGACGAUCAGUAGCCGACCUGAGAGGGUGAUCGGCCACAUUGGAACUGAGACACGGUCCAAACUCCUACGGGAGGCAGCAGUGGGGAAUAUUGCACAAUGGGCGAAAGCCUGAUGCAGCAACGCCGCGUGAGUGAUGAAGGCCUUCGGGUCGUAAAACUCUGUCCUCAAGGAAGAUAAUGACGGUACUUGAGGAGGAAGCCCCGGCUAACUACGUCCCAGCAGCCGCGGUAAUACGUAGGGGGCUAGCGUUAUCCGGAUUUACUGGGCGUAAAGGGUGCGUAGGCGGUCUUUCAAGUCAGGAGUGAAAGGCUACGGCUCAACCGUAGUAAGCUCUUGAAACUGGGAGACUUGAGUGCAGGAGAGGAGAGUGGAAUUCCUAGUGUAGCGGUGAAAUGCGUAGAUAUUAGGAGGAACACCAGUUGCGAAGGCGGCUCUCUGGACUGUAACUGACGCUGAGGCACGAAAGCGUGGGGAGCAGACAGGAUUAGAUACCCUGGUAGUCCACGCUGUAAACGAUGAGUACUAGGUGUCGGGGGUUACCCCCUUCG
rnacentral:rRNA from 1 species